GAUGAACGCUGGCGGCGUGCCUAAUACAUGCAAGUCGAGCGAACAGACGAGGAGCUUGCUCCUCUGACGUUAGCGGCGGACGGGUGAGUAACACGUGGAUAACCUACCUAUAAGACUGGGAUAACUUCGGGAAACCGGAGCUAAUACCGGAUAAUAUAUUGAACCGCAUGGUUCAAUAGUGAAAGACGGUUUUGCUGUCACUUAUAGAUGGAUCCGCGCCGCAUUAGCUAGUUGGUAAGGUAACGGCUUACCAAGGCAACGAUGCGUAGCCGACCUGAGAGGGUGAUCGGCCACACUGGAGCUGAGACGCGGUCCAGACUCCUACGGGACGCAGCAGUAGGGAAUCUUCCGCAAUGGGCGAAAACCUGACGGAGCAACGCCGCGUGAGUGAUGAAGGUCUUCGGAUCGUAAAGCUCUGUUAUUAGGGAAAAACAAAUGUGUAAGUAACUAUGCACGUCUUGACGGUACCUAAUCAGAAAGCCACGGCUAACUACGUG
rnacentral:rRNA from 1 species